rnacentral:rRNA from 1 species
GGGCCCGCACAAGCGGUGGAGCAUGUGGUUUAAUUCGAUGCAACGCGAAGAACCUUACCAGGGCUUAAAUGUAGUAUGACCGGCUUGGAAACAGGCCUUCUCUUCGGAGCAGAUUACAAGGUGCUGCAUGGUUGUCGUCAGCUCGUGCCGUGAGGUGUUAGGUUAAGUCCUGCAACGAGCGCAACCCCUAUUCUUAGUUGCCAGCGGUUCGGCCGGGGACUCUAAGAAGACUGCCAGCGCAAGCUGAGAGGAAGGUGGGGAUGACGUCAAAUCAUCACGGCCCUUACGUCCUGGGCUACACACGUGCUACAAUGGUAGAGACAGAGGGCUGCAAACCAGCGAUGGGGAG